rnacentral:rRNA from 1 species
UACAGAGGUGGCAAGCGUUGUUCGGAAUUACUGGGCGUAAAGGGCGCGUAGGCGGCCUGUUAAGUCGAACGUGAAAUCUCGGGGCUUAACUCCGAAACUGCAUUCGAUACUGCCGUGCUUGAGGACUGGAGAGGAGACUGGAAUUUACGGUGUAGCGGUGAAAUGCGUAGAUAUCGUAAGGAAGACCAGUGGCGAAGGCGGGUCUCUGGGCAUUAACUGACGCUGAGGAGCGAAAAGCAUGGGGGAGCGAACAGG